AGAAAAAAAAAACAAAACAAAACAACAUAGCCUCGUCCUUUUGUGGCGUUGCCCCUUCUGCCUAAUUUUUCUAGGCAAAUCGAGAAACUCUCACCCCCAAAAAUCCUACGUAAAAUCAUCCAUAUUUCUUCCAACCCCGAAAAUUUUCUUUAAUUUCGAGUGCCUUAGAAUUCAUCAUUAUCUGAUUUAUUUGCUGUCAAAAGUGGCCAGCAGCCAGCUAAAUUGAACAAGGCUGGAUUGUAAUUGGUCAAGAGGCAUAUUCUCCCAGAAGCCACUUACAUUUUUCUGACCAACAUUAUUUUGGACAUACUGAUACUGCCUGAAAGGUUGCAAAGCCAGAAAAAGAAGCUGGAAUGACAAAGGAAAUGGGUGUUACCUUGGCAUGUUAGCCAAAGAAGCACAUACAACUGUCAUUCUCGCCCCUUAUUAGGUUACUCAUUUCCGCUUUCCUGGUUGGGGUCAUCUCCUAAUUUCAUCAAUGGUAUGUUUGUACUUUUAACUUUUUUAUUCUUGGUGCAAUAUUCAUCCAGAUGUGAAUUCUGCCAAUUCCUUUUUCCUUUGAAUUUGAGUAUUAUCAUUUUGCUUGUUUAUAGAAUUCUUCAAAAGUCUUUUUGGCAAGUUAAGGAUUUCUUUAGUCUAACUCUUCCUUUUUUGUUCUUUUGCCAUUUUAAGUUAGGCUCUCUCUUUACUUAGCUGGGUUGAAAUGGUAACGCAUUUGAUGGAUUAGUAAAAAUGAUUUAACGACUAACCAUGUCCAUGUGACCUCCCCUCUAUCCCCCUACACAAAAGUAAAAUCAUAAAUUUACUCUUUUUACCAACAUGGUUCUUAUCAUAGAAAAAGUGGAUGUUUAGGGCCAUACCUCACAUUACAUCACUGUUCUUUGAUGUUUUCCCUACCCUUUCAAGUGCAUUCUCAUGAGCCAUCCGCUUACUUGAAUUGAUAUCUUAAUGCGGGAAACAAAAUCAUGUUGUUCUUGAGGCAGGCUGCAAAAAUUCUUGCUAAUUUAAUUGUAAUG